rnacentral:rRNA from 1 species
AGGACGAACGCUGGCGGCGUGCUUAACACAUGCAAGUCGAGCGGAAAGGCCCUUCGGGGUACUCGAGCGGCGAACGGGUGAGUAACACGUGAGUAAUCUGCCCCUAGCUCUGGGAUAGCUCCGGGAAACCGGGAUUAAUACCGGAUACGACCACCUUAGACAUCUUUUGUGGUGGAAAGAAUUUCGGCUAGGGAUGAGCUCGCGGCCUAUCAGCUUGUUGGUGGGGUAACGCCUACCAAGGCGACGACGGGUAGCCGGCCUGAGAGGGCGACCGGCCACACUGGGACUGAGACACGGCCCAGACUCCUACGGGAGGCAGCAGUGGGAAUAUUGCGCAAUGGGCGAAAGCCUGACGCAGCGACGCCGCGUGGGGGAUGGAAGGCCUUCGGGUUGUAAACCCCUUUCAGCAGGGACGAAGCGAAAGUGACGGUACCUGCAGAAGAAGCGCCGGCUAACUACGUGCCAGCAGCCGC